UACAGAGGGUGCAAGCGUUAAUCGGAAUUACUGGGCGUAAAGGGUGCGUAGGUGGUGAAUUAAGUUGGAUGUGAAAGCCCCGGGCUUAACCUGGGAAUUGCAUUCAAUACUGGUUUACUAGAGUCGGGUAGAGGGAGGUGGAAUUUCCGGUGUAGCGGUGAAAUGCGUAGAGAUCGGAAGGAACACCAGUGGCGAAGGCGGCCUCCUGGACCUAGACUGACACUGAGGCACGAAAGCGUGGGUAGCAAACAGG
rnacentral:rRNA from 1 species